UACGGAGGAUGCGAGCGUUAUCCGGAUUUAUUGGGUUUAAAGGGUGCGUAGGCGGGCUUUUAAGUCAGCGGUAAAAAUUCGGGGCUCAACCCCGUCCGGCCGUUGAAACUGGGGGCCUUGAGUGGGCGAGAAGAAGGCGGAAUGCGUGGUGUAGCGGUGAAAUGCAUAGAUAUCACGCAGAACCCCGACUGCGAAGGCAGCCUUCCGGCGCCCUACUGACGCUGAGGCACGAAAGUGCGGGGAUCGAACAGG
rnacentral:rRNA from 1 species